CUUUUUUUCUUUUCAUUAACAAAACAACCACACACACAAAUAUAGAAUGUAUCCUGGAUGUUACCACUGUGGACCAACUACAUAUUACAAGGCAAACUGUAGAGUUUACCGUGGAAUAUAAAGUCUGCGUUGGAUACGGCCGCAUUACACGGGGAGGAGAGGGAGCAAUGGGGAAACUGUUUCACCAAAUCUCCAGGCAUACCAUGCUGAAUGUUCAAAGCAACAAAUAAUCUGGUUUUUAAAUUGUAUAUCCCAAGCUUGCCUUUCUGCAGACGUUCUAAGCAGUGAUCGCCUGUUUAAAAUGUUUCUUAAUGAC